GACGAACGCUGGCGGCGUGCUUAACACAUGCAAGUCGAACGGAAAGGCCCUGCUUUUGUGGGGUGCUCGAGUGGCGAACGGGUGAGUAACACGUGAGUAACCUGCCCUUGACUUUGGGAUAACUUCAGGAAACUGGGGCUAAUACCGGAUAGGAGCUCCUGCUGCAUGGUGGGGGUUGGAAAGUUUCGGCGGUUGGGGAUGGACUCGCGGCUUAUCAGCUUGUUGGUGGGGUAGUGGCUUACCAAGGCUUUGACGGGUAGCCGGCCUGAGAGGGUGACCGGCCAGGUGGGGACUGGGACACGGCUCGUACGCGGGGGGGGGGAAGGGGGGGGAAAUAGCGCACCAGGGCCGGAGAAAGGAGGCAACAGCGGGGGGGGCGGUAUGACGGCCGUGGGCUUGCUCACCGGUUGCGCUGGUGGAGAGGGGGGUGUGACGGAGAGUGGAAAAGAAGCCCCGGCUAAUCACGGGCCAGCAGCGGCUUGAAGACUAGGAACGUCACAGUCGGAAC
rnacentral:rRNA from 1 species